rnacentral:rRNA from 1 species
CCUACGUGCUGCAGCAGUGGGGAAUAUUGCCCAAUGGGGGACACCCUGAUGCAGCGACGCCGCGUGAGUGAAGAAGUAAUUCGUUACGUAACGCUCUAUCAGCAGGGCAGACAUACUGACCUUACGGUCAGCAGACGGUACCUGAGUAAGACGCCCCGGCUAACUACGUUCCAGCAGCCGCUGUAAUACGUAGGGGGCAAGCGUGAUCCGGAUUUACUGGGUGUAACGGGAGCGUAGACGGUGCGCCAAGUCUGGAGGGAAAUGCCGCGGCUUAACUGCGGAAGUGCUUUGGAAACUGGCGAACUAGAGUGCGGGAGGGGUAAGCGGAAUUCCUGGUGUAGCGGUGAAAUGCGUAGAUAUUAGGAGGAACACCGGUGGCGAAGGCGGCUUACUGGACCGUAACUGACGUUGAGGCUGGAAAGCGUGGGGAGCAAACAGGAUUAGAUACCCCGGUAGUC